rnacentral:rRNA from 1 species
CAGCUUGCUGGUGUGGAUUAGUGGCGAACGGGUGAGUAACACGUGAGUAACCUGCCCCUCACUCUGGGAUAAGCCUGGGAAACUGGGUCUAAUACUGGAUACGACCGAUCUCCGCAUGGAGUGUUGGUGGAAAGUUUUUGUGGUGGGGGAUGGACUCGCGGCCUAUCAGCUUGUUGGUGGGGUAAUGGCCUACCAAGGCGACGACGGGUAGCCGGCCUGAGAGGGCGACCGGCCACACUGGGACUGAGACACGGCCCAGACUCCUACGGGAGGCAGCAGUGGGGAAUAUUGCACAAUGGGCGAAAGCCUGAUGCAGCGACGCCGCGUGAGGGAUGACGGCCUUCGGGUUGUAAACCUCUUUCACCAGGGACGAAGCUAACGUGACGGUACCUGGAGAAGAAGCACCGGCUAACUACGUGCCAGCAGCCGCGGUAAUACGUAGGGUGCGAGCGUUGUCCGGAAUUAUUGGGCGUAAAGAGCUUGUAGGCGGUUUGUCGCGUCUGCUGUGAAAGACCGGGGCUUAACUCCGGUUCUGCAGUGGGUACGGGCAGACUAGAGUGUGGUAGGGGAGACUGGAAUUCCUGGUGUAGCGGUGAAAUGCGCAGAUAUCAGGAGGAACACCGAUGGCGAAGGCAGGUCUCUGGGCCAUUACUGACGCUGAGAAGCGAAAGCAUGGGGAGCGAACAGGAUUAGAUACCCUGGUAGUCCAUGCCGUAAACGUUGGGCGCUAGGUGUGGGACUCAUUCCACGAGUUCCGUGCCGCAGCUAACGCAUUAAGCGCCCCGCCUGGGGAGUACGGCCGCAAGGCUAAAACUCAAAGGAAUUGACGGGGGCCCGCACAAGCGGCGGAGCAUGCGGAUUAAUUCGAUGCAACGCGAAGAACCUUACCAAGGCUUGACAUACACCGGAAUCAUGCAGAGAUGUGUGCGUCUUCGGACUGGUGUACAGGUGGUGCAUGGUUGUCGUCAGCUCGUGUCGUGAGAUGUUGGGUUAAGUCCCGCAACGAGCGCAACCC